UGUAAUUGGAAUGAUGGGAAUUUAAACCCCUUCCAGAGUAUCAAUUGGAGGGCAAGUCUGGUGCCAGCAGCCGCGGUAAUUCCAGCUCCAAUAGCGUAUAUUAAACUUGUUGCAGUUAAAAAGCUCGUAGUUGAAUUUCUGCUGCAUCGUUCUUCUUCGCUAUGUCGAGUGAUCUUCGUUGUGGCUUAGUUGGGGCAUGUUUUCAUGACUCGACGUUUACUUUGAGAAAAUUAGAGUGCUGCAAGCAGGCUUUUGCCUUGAAUACUUUAGCAUGGAAUAAUGGAGUAGGACUUUGGUUCUAUUUUGUUGGUUUUAGGAGCCGGAGUAGUGGUUAAUAGGAACAGUUGGGGGCAUUCGUAUUUGACUGUCAGAGGUGAAAUUCUUAGAUUUGUCAAAGACGAACUACUGCGAAAGCAUUUGCCAAGGAUGUUUCCAUUAUUC
rnacentral:rRNA from 1 species